UGCGUAUCGCGUAUGGAACCUACCUUAUACUGGGGUAUAGCCCGGAGAAAUUCGGAUUAAUCCCCCAUAGUAUUAUUGGAUCGCAUGGUUUGAUAAUUAAAGGUUACGGUAUAAGAUGGGCAUGCGUCCUAUUAGCUAGAUGGUAAGGUAACGGCUUACCAUGGCUACGAUAGGUAGGGGGCCUGAGAGGGUGGUCCCCCACACUGGUACUGAGACACGGACCAGACUCCUACGGGAGGCAGCAGUGAGGAAUAUUGGUCAAUGGGCGCAAGCCUGAACCAGCCAUGCCGCGUGCAGGAAGAAUGCCCUACGGGUUGUAAACUGCUUUUAUUUAGGAAUAAACUCUUGUACGUGUACAAGCCUGAAGGUACUAAAUGAAUAAGCACCGGCUAACUCCGUGCCAGCAGCCGCGGUAAUACGGAGGGUGCAAGCGUUAUCCGGAAUCAUUGGGUUUAAAGGGUCCGCAGGCGGAUUUAUAAGUCAGUGGUGAAAUCCUAUCGCUUAACGAUAGAACUGCCAUUGAUACUGUAAGUCUUGAAUUCGGUCGAAGUGGGCGGAAUGUGUAGUGUAGCGGUGAAAUGCAUAGAUAUUACACAGAACACCGAUAGCGAAGGCAGCUCACUAGGCCUGGAUUGACGCUCAGGGACGAAAGCGUGGGGAUCAAACAGGAUUAGAUACCCUGGUAGUCCACGCUGUAAACGAUGAUUACUCGUUUUCGGCGAUAUAAUGUCGGAGACUAAGCGAAAGUGAUAAGUAAUCCACCUGGGGAGUACGAUCGCAAGGUUGAAACUCAAAGGAAUUGACGGGGGCCCGCACAAGCGGUGGAGCAUGUGGUUUAAUUCGAUGAUACGCGAGGAACCUUACCAGGGCUUGAAAGUUAGUGAGGAAUGUGGAAACAUGUUCGUCAGCAAUG
rnacentral:rRNA from 1 species